GGCGACGACUUCGGGUCUAUUAGAGUGGCGAACGGGUGAGUAACACGUGGAAAUCUACCUUCUAGUCUGGAAUAACCAUUGGAAACGAUGGCUAAUGCCGGAUACUCCCGUAAGGGGAAAGGCUUGCUGCUAGAAGAUGAGCCCGCGCUAGAUUAGCUUGUUGGUGGGGUAAUGGCCUACCAAGGCGAUGAUCUAUAGCUGGUCUGAGAGGACGAUCAGCCACACUGGGACUGAGACACGGCCCAGACUCCUACGGGAGGCAGCAGUGGGGAAUAUUGGACAAUGGGGGAAACCCUGAUCCAGCAAUGCCGCGUGUGUGAAGAAGGCCUUAGGGUUGUAAAACACUUUCGCGUGUGAAGAUAAUGACGGUAACACGUAAAGAAGCACCGGCUAACUCCGUGCCAGCAGCCGCGGUAAUACGGAGGGUGCUAGCGUUGUUCGGAAUUACUGGGCGUAAAGAGUGCGUAGGCGGUACAGUCAGUUAGAUGUGAAAUCCCAGGGCUCAACCUUGGAACUGCAUUUAAUACUGCUGUGCUAGAGUUCGAUAGAGGGUGAUGGAAUUCCUAGUGUAGAGGUGAAAUUCGUAGAUAUUAGGAGGAACACCAGUGGCAAGGCGGUCACCUGGAUCGAUACUGACGCUGAGGCACGAA
rnacentral:rRNA from 1 species